GCCAGCGUGGCUCAAUUGGCAGAGCAUCGGAUUUGUAAUCCGAAGGUUGCGGGUUCGAGUCCCGCCGCUGGCUCCA
rnacentral:tRNA from 1 species